rnacentral:rRNA from 1 species
UACGGGGGGGGCAAGCGUUGUUCGGAAUUACUGGGCGUAAAGGGCUCGUAGGCGGUCUGUCGCGUCGGUCGUGAAAACUUGGGGCUUAACCCUGAGCUUGCGGUCGAUACGGGCAUGACUGGAGUUCGGCAGGGGAGACUGGAAUUCCUGGUGUAGCGGUGAAAUGCGCGGAUAUCAGGAGGAACACCGGUGGCGAAGGCGGGUCUCUGGGCCGAUACUGACGCUGAGGAGCGAAAGCGUGGGGAGCGAACAGG